CCUANGGGUGGCAGCAACUGGGAAUUUUGCGCAAUGGACGAAAGUCUGACGCAGCGACACCGCGUGUGGGAUGAAGUAUUUCGGUAUGUAAACCACUGUGGCGAGGGAUGACUAAAGACAGUACCUCGUUAGAAAGCAUCUGCUAACUACGUGCCAGAAGCCUCGGCAAUGCGUGGGAUGCAAGCGUUAUCCGGAUUUACUGGGCGUAAAGGGUUUCGCAGGCGGACUGUUAAGUCUGAUCUUAAAGCCUAGGGCUCAACCCUAGAUAUGGAUUAGAUACUGGCAGUCUUGAGGGUAUCAGGGGGGACUGGAACACUCGGUGGAGGGGUGAAAUCCGUUGAGAUCGAGUGGAACGCCAAUGGCGAAAGCAGGUCCCUGGGGUAUUUCUGACGCUCAGGUACGAAAGCUAGGGGAGCAAACGGGAUUAGAUACCCUANUANUC
rnacentral:rRNA from 1 species